rnacentral:rRNA from 1 species
UACGGGGGGGGCAAGCGUUGUUCGGAAUUACUGGGCGUAAAGGGCUUGUAGGUGGCCAACUAAGUCAGACGUGAAAUCCCUCGGCUUAACCGGGGAACUGCGUCUGAUACUGGAUGGCUUGAGUUUGGGAGAGGGAUGCGGAAUUCCAGGUGUAGCGGUGAAAUGCGUAGAUAUUGGGAGGAACACCGGUGGCGAAGGCGGCCCCCUGGACCGGUACUGACGCUGAGGCGCGAAAGCGUGGGUAGCAAACGGG